GAAAUCUUGAUAACAACGCCAGGGCCUUUCAUAAGACCCAGUGGACAAUUUUUGCGGACCCUUGCGGAGGCAAGGGUG
rfam:Heligmosomoides polygyrus genome assembly, scaffold: HPBE_scaffold0010576